rnacentral:rRNA from 1 species
CCUAACACAUGCAAGUCGAGCGAGGUAGCAAUACCUAGCGGCAGACGGGUGCGUAACAUGUGGGAAUCUGCCUUUUGGGUUCGGAACAACACGGGGGGAACCUGUGCUAAUACCGGAUAAGUCCUUACGGAGAAGGUUUUAAUGCCAAAAGAUGAGCCCGCAUUUGAUUAGCUAGUUGGUGAGGUAAAAGCUCACCAAGGCGAUAAUCAAUAGCUGAUUUGAGAGGAUGAUCAGCCACACUGGGACUGAGAUACGGCCCAGACUCC